GGCCGCGUGGCCUAAUGGAUAAGGCGCUCGACUUCGAAUCGAGAGAUUGAGGGUUCGAGUCCCUUCGUGGUCG